rnacentral:lncRNA from 1 species
CUAGGCAGGCCGAUCCUCCGCAGCGGCACUCCCUUUCAUUCUUCCCCUCCCACCACACACACACACUCACACACACACACCCGGACCCAGACAGCCCACUCCACUUUCCAGACGCCCACCUCCUACAUACUCCCCUCCCCUAAACAGACAUUCACCCACUCGCCAUCUGUAGCCUCCUUCCGCCCCCCGCCCCGCCCGCCUGGCUCCCCCUCCCCAAGAAGCAGACCUGCACAGUGGGACCCAGGGACCCCCGCCAGACGCUCGGGUCGUGCACGCCGCACUGACCUCGGCCCGCCCCGCCGGGAAACUAACAAAGGCGGGCGAGAGCCCGGAGCCCAGGAGCCGCGAGCGGCGGCCGUGGGGCCAGGGAGCCUGGGCCGGGCCGGGCGGGGACUACUCCGGAGUCAGGAGGCAGCAGCUGCGGAGGAAGCGGAUCCCUGGCAGUCAGCGCCGCUCGGACGCUGCCGGCACCAUGGGCUGCUGCACCGGACGCUGCUCGCUCAUCUGCCUCUGCGCGCUGCAGUUGGAGGAAUCCCAACUUAUCCUGAAACAAAAGAAUGAAAUGCAAGCUUUCUGCAGACCAAGUAUUUUGCAAUUUUUGCAUGCUCUAUUUUCUUCAGCUGAUGAACCACUUCUGACAAAGCUUUCUCACUGUCCGGAUAUAAUCUGCUAAUACCACUGGGACCUACACUCACAAGUAUCUUCUUUCUCCAUAAAAGUUUAAGCCACUAAUUCUUUUUGAUAUCUGUUGGGAAACUCUUCCUUUUCCUUGUAGUAUUGUGAUUGCCAAAGAUUUGAAUGUGGCAACCAGACCACUGACCGAGCGUCUUGAAUGCAGGGCCAAUUAGAGGGAAGCACUAGAUGAAGCCACUGAACCAUUAGGAGGCUUGCAAAGAUCCCCUAACAGUCUUUUCAUCUACAAGAGAGCUGUGGUUGGAAAUACACAGAUGGAG